rnacentral:rRNA from 1 species
GACGAACGCUGGCGGCGUGCUUAACACAUGCAAGUCGAACGGAGUGGCGAACGGGUGAGUAACACGUGGGUGAUCUGCCUUGCACUUCGGGAUAAGCUUGGGAAACUGGGUCUAAUACCGGAUAGUGCAAGAUGGGAGCGCGGCCGAUCAGCUUGUGGGGGGGGUAAUGGCCUACCAGGGGGUCGGCGGGUAGCCGGCCUGGGAGGGGGUACGGCCACAUUGGGACUGAGGUACGCCCCAGACUCCUACGGGAGGCAGCAGGGGGGAAUAUUGCACAAUGGGGGGAAGCCUGAGGCAGCGACGCUGCGGGGGGAAUGAAGGCCUUCGGGUUGUAAACUCCUUUCGACAGGGACGCGGUACCUGUAUAAGAAGCACCGGCUAACUACGUGCCAGCCGCCGCGGUAAUAC